AAUUCUUGUCUUAAAUUUGUCUAAAUAUGGAUGUAUCUAGUUACAUUUUAGUGUUAGAUACAUCUGUAUCUAAACAAAUGUAAGACAAGAAUU
rnacentral:pre_miRNA from 1 species